AUUGAACGCUGGCGGAAUGCUUUACACAUGCAAGUCGAGCGGCAGCGCGGGGCAACCUGGCGGCGAGCGGCGAACGGGUGAGUAAUGCAUCGGAACAUGUCCAAGUCGUGGGGGAUAGCCCGGCGAAAGCCGGAUUAAUACCGCAUAAGCCCGGGAGGGGAAAGGAGGGGACCGCAAGGCCUUGCGCGAUUGGGUUGGCCGAUGUCCGAUUAGCUAGUUGGUGAGGUAACGGCUUACCAAGGCGAUGACCGGUAGCUGGUCUGAGAGGAGGAUCAGCCACACUGGGACUGAGACACGGCCCAGACUCCUACGGGAGGCAGCAGUGGGGAAUUUUGGACAAUGGGGGCAACCCUGAUCCAGCCAUUCCGCGUGAGUGAAGAAGGCCUUCGGGUUGUAAAGCUCUUUUGUCCGGAGCGAAACGGCACGGGUGACUAUCCCGUGCUACUGACGGUACCGGAAGAAUAAGCACCGGCUAACUACGUGCCAGCCGCCGCCGUAACAC
rnacentral:rRNA from 1 species